rnacentral:sRNA from 1 species
GCAUUUCUCCCCGAGAUGGCGGGUCUGACGGCGGCGGCCCCACGGCCCGGAGUCCUCCUGCUCCUGCUGUCCAUCCUCCACCCCUCUCGGCCUGGAGGGGUCCCUGGGGCCAUUCCUGGUGGAGUUCCUGGAGGAGUCUUUUAUCCAGGGGCUGGUCUCGGAGCCCUUGGAGGAGGAGCACUGGCGCCUGGAGUCAAACCUCUUAAGCCAGGGCUCGGCGCCUUCCCCGCAGUUACCUUUCCGGGGGCUCUGGUGCCUGGUGGAGUGGCUGACGCUGCUGCAGCCUAUAAAGCUGCUAAGGCUGGCGCUGGGCUUGGUGGUGUCCCAGGAGUUGGUGGCUUAGGAGUGUCUGCAGGUGCGGUGGUUCCUCAGCCUGGAGCCGGAGUGAAGCCUGGGAAAGUGCCGGGUGUGGGGCUGCCAGGUGUAUACCCAGGUGGCGUGCUCCCAGGAGCUCGGUUCCCCGGUGUGGGGGUGCUCCCUGGAGUUCCCACUGGAGCAGGAGUUAAGCCCAAGGCUCCAGGUAUGCAGCUGUCUGGACAGAG